rnacentral:rRNA from 1 species
UCUUCCACAAUGGGCGAAAGCCUGAUGGAGCAACGCCGCGUGAGUGAAGAAGUAUCUCGGUAUGUAAAGCUCCAUCAGCAGGGAAGAAAGAAAUGACGGUACCUGAGUAAGAAGCCCCGGCUAACUACGUGCCAGCAGCCGCGGUAAUACGGAGGGGGCAAGCGUUAUCCGGAAUUACUGGGUGUAAAGGGAGCGUAGACGGUGAUGUAAGCCUGGAGUGAAAGGCGGGGGCCCAACCCCCGGACUGCUCUGGAAACUAUGUGACUGGAGUGCAGGAGAGGUGAGCGGAAUUCCUAGUGUAGCGGUGAAAUGCGUAGAUAUUAGGAGGAACACCAGUGGCGAAGGCGGCUCACUGGACUGUAACUGACGUUGAGGCUCGAAAGCGUGGGGAGCAAACAGG